AGGACGAACGCUGGCGGCGCGCUUAACACAUGCAAGUCGAGCGAGAACCAGUCUUCGGACUGGGGAAAGCGGCGAACGGGUGAGUAACACGUGGGUAAUCAACCCUUGACACCGGGAUAGCCCGAGGAAACUCGGAUUAAUACCGGAUGGCCCAACAGUCUUUCGGGGCGGUUGGAAAAGGUAGCUUCGGCCUCCGGUCAGGGACGAGCCCGCGGCGGAUUAGCUUGUUGGUGAGGUAACGGCUCACCAAGGCAACGAUCCGUAGCUGGUCUGAGAGGACGAUCAGCCACACUGGGACUGAGACACGGCCCAGACUCCUACGGGAGGCAGCAGUGGGGAAUCUUGCACAAUGGGCGAAAGCCUGAUGCAGCGACGCCGCGCGAGGGAAGAAGGCUUUCGGGUUGUAAACCUCUUUCAGGUGGGACGAAGCUCCUCGGGUUAAUAGCCCAGAGGGUGACGGUACCGCAGAGAAGCCCCGGCUAACUACGUGCCAGCAGCCGC
rnacentral:rRNA from 1 species